GUAGUCCUGGCCGUAAACGAUGUCGACUUGGAGGUUGUGCCCUUGAGGCGUGGCUUCCGGAGCUAACGCGUUAAGUCGACCGCCUGGGGAGUACGGCCGCAAGGUUAAAACUCAAAUGAAUUGACGGGGGCCCGCACAAGCGGUGGAGCAUGUGGUUUAAUUCGAUGCAACGCGAAGAACCUUACCUGGUCUUGACAUCCACGGAGGUUUUCAGAGAUGAGAAUGUGCCUUCGGGAACCGUGAGACAGGUGCUGCAUGGCUGUCGUCAGCUCGUGUUGUGAAAUGUUGGGUUAAGUCCCGCAACGAGCGCAACCCUUAUCCUUUGUUGCCAGCGGUCCGGCCGGGAACUCAAAGGAGACUGCCAGUGAUAAACUGGAGGAAGGUGGGGAUGACGUCAAGUCAUCAUGGCCCUUACGACCAGGGCUACACACGUGCUACAAUGGCGCAUACAAAGAGAAGCGACCUCGCGAGAGCAAGCGGACCUCAUAAAGUGCGUCGUAGUCCGGAUUGGAGUCUGCAACUCGACUCCAUGAAGUCGGAAUCGCUAGUAAUCGUGGAUCAGAAUGCCACGGUGAAUACGUUCCCGGGCCUUGUACACACCGCCCGUCACACCAUGGGAGUGGGUUGCAAAAGAAGUAGGUAGCUUAACCUUCGGGAGGGCGCUUACCACUUUGUGAUUCAUGACUGGGGUGAAGUCGUAACAAGGUAACCGUAGGGGAACCUGCGGCUGGAUCACCUCC
rnacentral:rRNA from 1 species